rnacentral:rRNA from 1 species
UACAGAGGGUGCGAGCGUUAAUCGGAAUUACUGGGCGUAAAGCGUGCGUAGACGGUUAUUUAAGUCGGAUGUGAAAGCCCCGGGCUCAACCUGGGAAUUGCAUUCGAGACUGAAUAGCUAGGGUGCGGUAGAGGGAAGCGGAAUUUCCGGUGUAGCGGUGAAAUGCGUAGAUAUCGUCUGGAACGCCAAAGGUGAAAACAGACUGCUGGGAGUGUGCUGACGCUGAGACACGAAAGCCAGGGGAGCAAACGGG